GGAGCAGCCCAGAGCCUGAAUCAGUGUGUGUGUUAGUGGAAGCGUCUGGAAAGGCGUGCGAUACAGGGUGACAGCCCCGUACACAAAAAUGCACAUACUGUGAGCUCGAUGAGUAGGGCGGGACACGUGGUAUCCUGUCUGAAUAUGGGGGGACCAUCCUCCAAGGCUAAAUACUCCUGACUGACCGAUAGUGAACCAGUACCGUGAGGGAAAGGCGAAAAGAACCCCGGCGAGGGGAGUGAAAAAGAACCUGAAACCGUGUACGUACAAGCAGUGGGAGCACGCUUAGGCGUGUGACUGCGUACCUUUUGUAUAAUGGGUCAGCGACUUAUAUUCUGUAGCAAGGUUAACCGAAUAGGGGAGCCGAAGGGAAACCGAGUCUUAACUGGGCGUUAAGUUGCAGGGUAUAGACCCGAAACCCGGUGAUCUAGCCAUGGGCAGGUUGAAGGUUGGGUAACACUAACUGGAGGACCGAACCGACUAAUGUUGAAAAAUUAGCGGAUGACUUGUGGCUGGGGGUGAAAGGCCAAUCAAACCGGGAGAUAGCUGGUUCUCCCCGAAAGCUAUUUAGGUAGCGCCUCGUGAAUUCAUCUCCGGGGGUAGAGCACUGUUUCGGCAAGGGGGUCAUCCCGACUUACCAACCCGAUGCAAACUGCGAAUACCGGAGAAUGUUAUCACGGGAGACACACGGCGGGUGCUAACGUCCGUCGUGAAGAGGGAAACAACCCAGACCGCCAGCUAAGGUCCCAAAGUCAUGGUUAAGUGGGAAACGAUGUGGGAAGGCCCAGACAGCCAGGAUGUUGGCUUAGAAGCAGCCAUCAUUUAAAGAAAGCGUAAUAGCUCACUGGUCGAGUCGGCCUGCGCGGAAGAUGUAACGGGGCUAAACCAUGCACCGAAGCUGCGGCAGCGACGCUUAUGCGUUGUUGGGUAGGGGAGCGUUCUGUAAGCCUGUGAAGGUGUGCUGUGAGGUAUGCUGGAGGUAUCAGAAGUGCGAAUGCUGACAUAAGUAACGAUAAAGCGGGUGAAAAGCCCGCUCGCCGGAAGACCAAGGGUUCCUGUCCAACGUUAAUCGGGGCAGGGUGAGUCGACCCCUAAGGCGAGGCCGAAAGGCGUAGUCGAUGGGAAACAGGUUAAUAUUCCUGUACUUGGUGUUACUGCGAAGGGGGGACGGAGAAGGCUAUGUUGGCCGGGCGACGGUUGUCCCGGUUUAAGCGUGUAGGCUGGUUUUCCAGGCAAAUCCGGAAAAUCAAGGCCGAGGCGUGAUGACGAGGCACUACGGUGCUGAAGCAACAAAUGCCCUGCUUCCAGGAAAAGCCUCUAAGCAUCAGGUAACAUCAAAUCGUACCCCAAACCGACACAGGUGGUCAGGUAGAGAAUACCAAGGCGCUUGAGAGAACUCGGGUGAAGGAACUAGGCAAAAUGGUGCCGUAACUUCGGGAGAAGGCACGCUGAUACGUAGGUGAAGCGACUUGCUCGUGGAGCUGAAAUCAGUCGAAGAUACCAGCUGGCUGCAACUGUUUAUUAAAAACACAGCACUGUGCAAACACGAAAGUGGACGUAUACGGUGUGACGCCUGCCCGGUGCCGGAAGGUUAAUUGAUGGGGUUAGCGCAAGCGAAGCUCUUGAUCGAAGCCCCGGUAAACGGCGGCCGUAACUAUAACGGUCCUAAGGUAGCGAAAUUCCUUGUCGGGUAAGUUCCGACCUGCACGAAUGGCGUAAUGAUGGCCAGGCUGUCUCCACCCGAGACUCAGUGAAAUUGAACUCGCUGUGAAGAUGCAGUGUACCCGCGGCAAGACGGAAAGACCCCGUGAACCUUUACUAUAGCUUGACACUGAACAUUGAGCCUUGAUGUGUAGGAUAGGUGGGAGGCUUUGAAGUGUGGACGCCAGUCUGCAUGGAGCCGACCUUGAAAUACCACCCUUUAAUGUUUGAUGUUCUAACGUGGACCCGUGAUCCGGGUUGCGGACAGUGUCUGGUGGGUAGUUUGACUGGGGCGGUCUCCUCCUAAAGAGUAACGGAGGAGCACGAAGGUUGGCUAAUCCUGGUCGGACAUCAGGAGGUUAGUGCAAUGGCAUAAGCCAGCUUGACUGCGAGCGUGACGGCGCGAGCAGGUGCGAAAGCAGGUCAUAGUGAUCCGGUGGUUCUGAAUGGAAGGGCCAUCGCUCAACGGAUAAAAGGUACUCCGGGGAUAACAGGCUGAUACCGCCCAAGAGUUCAUAUCGACGGCGGUGUUUGGCACCUCGAUGUCGGCUCAUCACAUCCUGGGGCUGAAGUAGGUCCCAAGGGUAUGGCUGUUCGCCAUUUAAAGUGGUACGCGAGCUGGGUUUAGAACGUCGUGAGACAGUUCGGUCCCUAUCUGCCGUGGGCGCUGGAGAACUGAGGGGGGCUGCUCCUAGUACGAGAGGACCGGAGUGGACGCAUCACUGGUGUUCGGGUUGUCAUGCCAAUGGCACUGCCCGGUAGCUAAAUGCGGAAGAGAUAAGUGCUGAAAGCAUCUAAGCACGAAACUUGCCCCGAGAUGAGUUCUCCCUGACCCUUUAAGGGUCCUGAAGGAACGUUGAAGACGACGACGUUGAUAGGCCGGGUGUGUAAGCGCAGCGAUGCGUUGAGCUAACCGGUACUAAUGAACCGUGAGGCUUAACCUUACAACGCCGAAG
rnacentral:rRNA from 2 species